UCCGGUUGAUCCUGCCGGACCUGACUGCUAUCGGAUUGGUACUAAGCCAUGCGAGUCAUUGUACAAUACAAGGCGGACGGCUCAGUAACACGUAGUCAACCUAACUCGUGGACGUGGAUAACCUCGGGAAACUGAGAAUAAACCACGAUAGAUCAUUAUGCCUGGAAUGGCUUAUGGUCCAAAUAGUUUACUGCCAUGGGAUGGGACUGCGGCCUAUCAGCUUGUUGGUGGGGUAAUGGCCCACCAAGGCUAUAACAGGUACGGGCUCUGAGAGGAGAAGCCCGGAGAUGGGUACUGAGACACGGACCCAGGCCCUAUGGGGCGCAGCAGGCGAGAAACCUUAGCAAUGUGCGAAAGCACGACUGGGUCAGUCCGAGUGAUUCCUGAUAAAGGAGUCUUUUGCUUGUCCUAAAAGCACAGGUGAAUAAGGGGUGGGCAAGUCUGGUGUCAGCCGCCGCGGUAAUACCAGCACCUCGAGUGGUCAGGACGUUUAUUGGGCCUAAAGCAUCCGUAGCCGGCUCUGCAAGUCUUCGGUUAAAUCCACCUGCUCAACAGAUGGGCCGCUGGAGAUACUACAGAGCUAGGGAGUGGGACAGGCAAACGGGAUUCCGGGGGGUACGGGGGGGGGGUUAA
rnacentral:rRNA from 1 species